UACGUAGGGUGCGAGCGUUAUCCGGAUUUACUGGGCGUAAAGGGUUGCGUAGGCGGUUUGGUAAGUCAAAACUCAAAUCUUCUUGCUUAACAAGAAAUCGGGUUUUGAUACUACUAAACUUGAGUAUCGGAGAGGUUGUCGGAACUUGCAGUGGAGCGGUGAAAUGCGUUGAGAUUGCAAGGAACACCGAUGGCGUAGGCAGACAACUGGUCGAUUACUGACGCUGAUGCACGAAAGCUAGGGGAGCGAAAGGG
rnacentral:rRNA from 1 species